UAGGGGGUGCUGUUUUUAUCCAGAGAGGAGGGGGGACAGGGCCUUGUCCACCUGGCCAGCCGAACAGCCACUUUUAGACUUCAGUUUUUACAAAAAUAUCUUACCGGCCCGGCUGAUUUGGUGUGGAGAGAUGUGACCAGCUGCAUUCUCAGACGUGUAAAUAACCUGGGGCUGGAUGCUGCUCUGUUUUUAACUGAUUCUAAUUUUUUUAAGUUAAAUGGGCUGCCUCCAUUUUAUCAGAGUGUUUUUAAGUCUUGGGCCCUUUUUAAUCAUAAAAGGUGUCCAAUGUCGGACUCUCUGCACUGGUUGUUGAAGGAGCCUUUAAUUUACAGAGCCAGGCUGGACGUCAGCAGCAGCAGCACACCCAGCCUGAUGGUGGCGCUCUGCAGGUCCAGAACCCUGUGCCUGCAGCAACUGGUGGAUGCAGUGGGGCCGGCGCUGAGUGAUGCCCGAGCCCUGGGCUUGCUGCUGGGUCUGACCUCCGUUCGAGUGGCUGAGAGGAUUCUGGAGCUGUGGAGCCAGAGGCUAUCGGGGAAGGAGAAGAGAAUAAUAAAAGACUACAGUGACGGGAAGGCUUCUCCAGACCCAGCAGACCCUUUUCCAGAGAUCAACCUGAGCCCAGGGCUGGGAGAACUGACCGGUCCCCUGCUCAAGGUCAUUAACCCGGCAGAACUGACGCUGCACAGAGCCGACAAAAAGACUCUAUAUAUGAACUGUGUCAAAAGCAUCCACAAGAAAGGCCUGUGCAGCAGACCCUCCACUGUGUGGAGCAACAGACUGGGUUCAGGAAGUGGACCAAGCCCACAGUGGGGGUCUUUUUACAAACCUCCCCUCAAAAAGCGGACAGCCGACCUCCAGUGGAGGAUUUUACAUGGUGCCGUCGCUUGUAACGCUUUUAUCGCCGUUAUUAAUCCCGCUGUUUUUAACAAAUGCCCUUUCUGCAACCUACGUGAGACUGUAUUCCAUGUUUUUACUGAGUGUAAGAGACUCACAGAGUUUUUCUCUCUUUUAACAUUGGUUUUUAGUCUUUUUAACGUAGUUUUUACCGAGAGUGUUUUUAUCAUGGGAGCUGCCUACAAAAAAGACAACAAAGAAAAGUGGCAGCUCCUAAAUUUCCUCUCGGGAGAGGCAAAAAUGGCCAUAUACAUUAGCAGGAAAAACAGAGUUGAGAACAGAGAGGGGCAGGAGGCCAAGACAGUGUGGCUGUGCAAUAUCAGGGCAAGACUCUGGCUCGAUUUUAGGUUUCACAAACAUACCGGGGAUCUCGACACUUUUAAAGAACGUUGGUGUUUUAAAAAUAUUAUCUGCACUGUGAACAAUGAAUGUUUACACUUUGCACAGGUUUUUAUUGGAUAAUUUUUAUAUAUUUAUAGAGUUGUUAUUUAUAAAUGUAUAUUUUUUGAUAUGAUAAUAUGAUUUUUCGUUUACACUUUAUGAGUAAACUGUUUGUUUUAAGAAUAUGUAAAUAAAGUGUUUUUGAAAAAUCAAAAAAAA
rnacentral:lncRNA from 1 species